AUUUUCGUUUCGUAAAACCCAAGACGGCGGACGACACUGAAGAAGCUCAAUAGCGAGGAAGUCACUAUUCGCACAUGACCUUACGCCGAAUUCCAAACUCCAGGAAAGUAUUUAGGCUAUUUCUGCAGUUGUCAUGUGCACAUGGAAUUUUACAGGCAAGAAAUGCAGUAUGUAUAGGUCCUUCUUCGUCUGUGAAAAUUCGUAACAUUUUUGCUCGCCGGUUUAGUCUCCGGCAUCUUGGAUCUGUAAUCUGCCAGUCGUUAUUUUUUUUUUCCGUUCUCGCUACAGGAUUCCUGUGGAUGUCCACGCAACAGCAGAUAACGACUGGGUACGAGUCUGCCCCCGCCCCCGAAUGGUCUUUUAUGCGAGCACUUGCGAGCACUCCGUUUUUUAUGCGAGACCGAGCAUUUUUUGGCGGAAAAAAUUGCACAAGGAUGCGAGCACGGCGGAAAAAUUGCGCACGGCGGAAAAAAAAUGCACGAGCAUGCGAGCACGG